rnacentral:rRNA from 1 species
AGCCUGAGAAAUAGNNNCCACUUCUACGGAGGGCAGCAGGCGCGCAAAUUGCCCAAUGUCAAAAAAAACGAUGAGGCAGCGAAAAGAAAUAGAGCCGGCAGUGCCACUGGCAUUGCCGUUUUCAAUGGGGGAUAUUUAAACCCAUCCAAAAUCGAGUAUCAAUUGGAGGACAAGUCUGGUGCCAGCACCCGCGGUAAUUCCAGCUCCAAAAGCGUAUAUUAAUGCUGUUGCUGUUAAAGGGUUCG